AAAGUCCACCUUCUAAUAGCACACGCAGUGAUCCAGAAAGUCGACCCCAGGUGCUAAAUAAAGGGUUAUUUGUUUACAUCACAUCACCUAAAUUGAUGUUAGUUGCCUUCAUUCUCUCGACUGUCCUCAUCUCAAUACUCGUUCUGGACUGUAAUCUAUGUCAUCGUAAGAAAGGAAUAAUGUAUUCGAUAAAGAGUUGUGGAAAGAAUGAAGAGUGUAAAGACUGCAUAAGAAGACAGCAGACUAUGAUAGAAAUGGUUUAAGUAUCAGUAGUUUUUGUGUCACAUUUCUGCU